rnacentral:rRNA from 1 species
UUACCUGGGCUUAAAUGUAGAGUGCAUUCAGCUGAAAGGCUGAUUUCCUUCGGGACUCUCUGCAAGGUGCUGCAUGGUUGUCGUCAGCUCGUGCCGUGAGGUGUCGGGUUAAGUCCCAUAACGAGCGCAACCCUUAUCGUUAGUUGCCAGCGGGUAAUGCCGGGAACUCUAACGAAACUGCCGGUGUAAACCGAGAGGAAGGUGGGGAUGACGUCAAAUCAGCACGGCCCUUAUGUCCAGGGCUACACACGUGUUACAAUGGCCGGUACAGAGGGCAGCUAUGCCGCGAGGCAAUGCGAAUCUCGAAAGCCGGUCUCAGUUCGGAUCGGAGUCUGCAACUCGACUCCGUGAAGCUGGAUUCGCUAGUAAUCGCGCAUCAGCCAUGGCGCGGUGAAUACGUUCCCGGGCCUUGUACACACCGCCCGUCAAGCCAUGGAAGUUGGGGGUACCUGAAGUCCGUAACCGCAAGGAGCGGCCUAGGGUAAAACCAGUGACUGGGGCGAAGUCGUAACAAGGUAGCC